rnacentral:rRNA from 1 species
GCGGCAGGCUUAACACAUGCAAGUCGAGGGGUAACAGGAGGUGCUUGCACUUCGCUGACGACCGGCGCACGGGUGCGUAACGCGUAUACAAUCUACCUUUUGCUGAGGGAUAGCCCAGAGAAAUUUGGAUUAAUACCUCAUGGUAUGUAGUAAUGGCAUCAUUACUAUAUUAAAGGUUACGGCAAAAGAUGAGUAUGCGUUCUAUUAGCUAGAUGGUAAGGUAACGGCUUACCAUGGCGACGAUAGAUAGGGGCCCUGAGAGGGGGAUCCCCCACACUGGUACUGAGACACGGACCAGACUCCUACGGGAGGCAGCAGUGAGGAAUAUUGGACAAUGGGCGCAAGCCUGAUCCAGCCAUGCCGCGUGCAGGAAGACUGCCCUAUGGGUUGUAAACUGCUUUUAUACAGGAAGAAACACUCCCUCGUGAGGGAGCUUGACGGUACUGUAAGAAUAAGGAUCGGCUAACUCCGUGCCAGCAGCCGCGGUAAUACGGAGGAUCCAAGCGUUAUCCGGAAUCAUUGGGUUUAAAGGGUCCGUAGGUGGAUAAUUAAGUCAGAGGUGAAAUCCUGCAGCUCAACUGUAGAAUUGCCUUUGAUACUGGUUAUCUUGAAUU